UGGGGAAUAUUGCACAAUGGGCGAAAGCCUGAUGCAGCGACGCCGCGUGAGGGAUGACGGCCUUCGGGUUGUAAACCUCUUUCAGUAGGGACGAAGCGCAAGUGACGGUACCUGCAGCAGAAGCACCGGCUAACUACGUGCCAGCAGCCGCGGUAAUACGUAGGGUGCGAGCGUUGUCCGGAAUUACUGGGCGUAAAGAGCUCGUAGGCGGUUUGUCACGUCGUCUGUGAAAUCCUAGGGCUUAACCCUGGACGUGCAGGCGAUACGGGCUGACUUGAGUACUACAGGGGAGACUGGAAUUUCUGGUGUAGCGGUGGAAUGCACAGAUAUCAGGAAGAACACCGAUGGCGAGGGCAGGUCUCUGGGUAGUAACUGACGCUGAGGGGCGAAAGCAUGGGUAGCGAACAGG
rnacentral:rRNA from 1 species